CCUCCCAUUCCAGGACCCUCCUCCAGGCCCCCUCCCGGAGGCGCGCUCCGCUCCAGCUCCGCCCCGCCCCCAGGGGGAGCUCGCGCCCUGGCCUCGGAGCCAGCCGCGUGCGGGCGGGAGUGCGCGGGUUUCCUACGGAGGUGGAAGCUGUGUGUGAGCUGCGCCCCGCAGCCCGCUCUCCCGCUCCAUUCUUCCCGCAGCCCCCCCUGCUCCAACCAGGUGACUGGGGGCUCAGCGGACCCGCCCUGCCGCCCGGAAUGGAGCGGGUCCCCAUGGAGCCCAAACUCCCUGCUCCACCUCUCUUCCCGCUGCCGCCGCCAAGCCGCUCCGAGCCCGAGGGAGAUGGCAACCCCCAUCCUUGUGCACGCCGUUGGACAGACUCCGCGCCGGAGCCCCGUCUGCCCUGGGCUGCCAGAGGUCUCCACAUCCUCCUCCUCCCUACUCUACCUGAGCUUCUUCCUCAUCUGCGGGACCCUGUGCCAAGGAACCUACCCAAAUCCAGGCCUGCUCCCUGAAACAUUGGCAAGAAACUGGAAAAAGAGGCUAAUAUGGAGAGGGAAGAAGUUUGGCAAGAUCUUUGGAGAGAAAAAGGACAGAGCUGAGCAAAUCUGCCCGCCAAAAUAUCACCCCUUUUCCAUGCUCCAUUCACAACCACCAGCCCAUUUUUCCACAUGACAAUCCUCUGCAGUCCAGAAGCUUGAAAAUUACAAGCCCAAGAUUCAAGACACAUGUUUCUUGUCCAGAGUCCUGCCUGUCUAGAAACAAAGAUAAAUCAGACCUCAGAGAAUCCGUCAAGCACUAUAUCCACUGGGCCCCCUAACCAGACUAGAAGUGCCCCAGUACAUUCUGAAGGGACACCUAUCACCUAUGUCCCCUGUGUGAGGUGAGGUGAUUUUGGAUGGAGUGACAACGACCCAGUGUCAGCAACCCUUCAUCUCUGGGCGUGUCUAUGGGGUUCUGCCAAACUUACCUCCACUGCAUCUCAGACUGAAGGUUCAGGGAGCUGCAGAUGGGCUCUGCCUGUGCUCUGGCACCGUCUGGUGUCCAUGCGCUCUAACAUUAACUCUCAGCUCUUCCGCCAGUUCCCUCAGUAGCCCUCUGGGCUGCACUGGCCUUGGACACCUGCCAGCUUGAUUUUCUUCCUCCUCUCCCUCUCAGUGCACUGAAGUGCCCUAUAGACCAGGGUAUUUCUCAAAGUCUCCUAGAGCGCUCACCACAACCCAAUACAGUAAAACUUGUUGGGUCCCCACCGUUGGGUCCUGAGAGCCCUCUUAUAUCAAUCCCCCUGCCUCAGUUCAUGAUACUGCCUUUAGGUCUGCUUCCUGCAAUAGAGGUAAGAUACAUGGGAAAAAAAGGCUCAAUGGACAGAAAAGAAGGAAGUUUAUGGAGAUGUCUUGAGAGAAAAUUCACAGUGAUUUGCAUAGCUGCCAACCAAAAUAUUACAACUUUUACAUGCUACAUUUAUGAAUAACAUCCCUUAUUUGUACAUGAUACACUCACAGAGGCCUUAGGCUUGAAACUACAAGCCCAAGAUUCAAGACAGAUGUUUCUGGGUCCUGAGUUGUGCCUCUCCUGAAACAAGGGAAGUCUGGCCCCAGAGAACCUAUCAAACUCUCUGGCCCUUGGGCCACAUGACCAGGCUGGAAAUACCCAUCAGAUUUUGAAGCCACAGGCAUGUCCCCACACUGAGGUGAGAAAAUUCUGGGCCAGAGAGUCAGAGGCACCCUGUAACCAAACCCUACAACUCUGGGCACAUCCUGAGUGUUCCACCAACUCAUCUUCAACCACAUCUCUAAGCUGGAGGUGUGUCCAGGAAGCUGCAGGUAUACGUUUCUGCUGCUCUGGCACCAUCUGGCGGCCAUCAGCUCUAACAUCAACUCUCAGCCCUUCAUUCUGUUUUCCCUCAGCUGUUCCCUGGGGCUGUUCUGGCUUUAGAUCUCUGCCAGCUUGAUGUUCUUUCUCUCAUCCUCUAAGCUUAAUGAAGUGCCCUACAGACUGGGCCGUUUCUCUUUCAAAGUCUCCCAGAGCACUCAUGCCAACCUACCCUAUCAAUACAUUAAAACCCUCUGCUUCCCCACCCACUGGCUCUUGAGUGCCUUCUUUGAAUCAGUCACCUUGCCUUAAUUCACAAGAACUGCAUUCAGGUCUGCUCCCUCUAACAGGGGUGGGAGACAGAAAAAGAGACUCAGAUGGAAGAAGGAUGAUUGUUGAGAACUUUGAGAGAAAAAGCACAGAGAUUAGCACAGCAUCCCACCAAGAAACACUCCUUUUCCAUGCUCCAUUCACAACCACCAAUCCAUUUUCUUAAAUGACACCUUCACAGAAGCUGGAGGUUUAAGAUUGCAAGCCCAGGAUUCAAAACAGAUAUUUGUGAUCCAGAGUUCUGCCUAUUGAGAAACAGGGCGAUCUGACCUUGGAGAACCUGCCAAACUCUCUCCUCCCGGGCAGCUGGACUAGGAUGGAAAUACCAGCCAGAGGCUGAAGGUGCACAUGUUUCCCUUGCUAAGGUUAGGAAAUUUUGGACAGAGUGUCAGAGGCAACCUAGAAUUAACCCCAACACUCUGGGCACAUCUUGGUGUAUUUACCAACCCAACUGCUAUUUAGCUGCACCUCUGAGCCUGGAGGUGUGGACAGGGAGCUGCAGAUGGGCUCUGUCUGUGCUCUGGCGCCAUCUGGUGGCCAACCCCUCUAAUGACAGCUCUUCACCCUUCCUCCUGUUUCCCCCAGCAGCCCCUGAGCUGCACUGGCCUUAAACACCUGCCAUCAUGAUGUUGCUCCCGCUCACCCUUUAAGCGACAUGACUUGCUUUGCAGACUGGGGUAUUUCCCUCGCAAAAUCUCCCAGAGCACUCACCCCAACCUAAACCACCCCAAUACAUUAAAAACCCUCUGCUUCCCCACCCACUAAAUCAAUCAGCUAGACCUGCCCUAAAGUUUGCUCCCUGUGAUACAGAGGUUGGAGGCUGGGGAAAAGAAGGUUCAGAGGGAAAUAGAAGAGGGAAGUUUGAAAUGUCUUGAAGGUAAAGGCACAGCGGUUCAAACUGCCACCCACCAAAAUUAGCACAGUUUUAUGAGCUCCAUUCAUGACCACGGGCUCCUUUUCCCAGAUGACAACUUUACAAAAGCCAGUGGCUUGAAAAUGUUAAGUCCAAGACUCAAGACAGAUAUCUGUGGGUCCAGAAUCCUGCCUUUCAAAAACAAAGGCUGGUCUGACCCCAGAGAUCUCCUCAAACUCUCUGGCCCCUGGGACACUCGACCAGUUUGGAAUCACCCAUCUGAUGCUGAAGGCACAUAUGUUUUUUCUUCUUGAGGUGAGCCAACUGGGCCCGAGAGUCAGAGAUGCCCUGAUAUAAAUUCCAACACUGGGCAUGUCCUGGGGUUUCCACCAACCCACCUUCCACCCCAUCUCUGAGCCUGAAGGUGCAGCCAAAGAGGCACAGAGGGCUCUGCCUGUGCUCUGGUGCCACCUGGUGCCCACCGGCUCUGACACCACCUCUCAGCCCUUCGCCCUUUCUUCCUCAGCAGCCCUGGGGCUACAACUGGCCUUGGCCUUCAAGCUGGGUUUCGUUCCAGAUCUCCUGUCAACCCAAGGAAAUGCCCUACAGACAGAGUCAUGACUUUCUCAAAGUCACCCAGUGCACUCACCCCACCUUAGAUCAGCCCACUACCUGAAAUCUGUCAGCGGCCUUACAUUUUCAAUACCAUGAGACUUGAAAUCAAUCAGCACUCUUUAGCCCUGUGACCCAGACUGAAAUCAGUAAACCUCCCUGCCCCACACAUUGCAAGUUUUCAGAUCGGUCCCGCUAACAGGGUUCAGGUAGAUGAGGAAGGGGGUGAGAUGGAAAGGGAAGCAAGAACCUUGGGGAGGACCUUUGAUGGAAAAAAAUCACAGGGAUUCCCAGAGCUGACCACUAAUAUAUCAAAAUGUUUCUGAGCUACAUUCAGGAAAAACCGACCCCUUUUCAACAUGACCCAACAGACAAGUCAGCUUGAAAAACUGCAAACCCAAGGUUAAAGACAGAUGAUUUUGGGUUCAGAGUCUUGCCCAGUGCUAAGCAAAGGCAUUUUGACCAUGGUGACUAUGUCAAAACUAUGGUGCCUGGGCCAUCCAACCAGACAGAAAAUAUAUAUCAGAUUUAGAGCCAUAGGUAUGUCAUUGCACAGAGGUAAAUCAAUGGGGGCUUGAGAGUGAGAAUCAACUUGUAAACACCCAGAAACUCUGGUAACAUACAAGGGGUUGCAUCAAUCCAAGAUCCUUCCUAUAUAUGAGCCUAGAGGUGUGGUCAGGAAAAGUAGGAGGGAUCUUCACCGUCUACCACAAUGAGGUGAAAAACAAACAUUUGCAAGAGCUAAUGAUUUGUACUUCAGUAAAAAAAUGUGAUUCAACAGGCUAUAUUAAACAGACCAACUACUAAAACAGCAAAAAACAAUCCCAACAAAAAAAAGGAUGUAAAUAAAACACACACCGCUCUGCAUUUCUGCGUCUUGGCCUGAGGUGCAGCUGCUGGGCUCUGCUGGUGCUCGGGCGCCCUCUGGCGGCCGUUCUCUCCAAUGACAACACCGAGCCUGUCCUCCCGCCUCCCGCCCAAACCCAGGGAUGGAGGGCACGGGCCAGGUCCCUCCUCCUCGCACUCUGAUGACCACCCUGCACCUUUCGGCGGGCCAGCUGCCUCUCUCAAAGUCACCCAGGGCACUCCCUCCUGCCCCCUCUAGCCAAACAACCCUCCCCUACCGACACCAGCCCACCCCACUGCAAGUCAGCCCACCAGCUGGAAACUCAUCUGCCUGCCUGAGCACACUCGGCCCAGCUCUAGCUAAUUCUUCCCUCCUCGGGCUGAAGUAACGGGAAGCCGCGGCUCAGGUUGAUAAAUACAAAGGGCGCUCUGGGGAGCAGUUGGAGAGCUGGACCCCAGGGAUCAGCACAGCACGGUCCGGCCAGCCAAAACCACCACUUGGCCACACUCCGCUCUGGUCCAGAAGCACACUGCUUUCUGGAUGCCACACCGCACAAACGCCUGACUUUCCAAAACUGACGUGCCCAAACUCAAACCAAACACCUUUGGGUGCAGGGCAUUUAGGGUUGUACCAGCUGCUGGAGAACCCCAAGCCUCCCACCCACCCCCACCC
rnacentral:lncRNA from 1 species